rnacentral:rRNA from 1 species
AAACCGUGUACGUACAAGCAGUGGGAGCACGCUUAGGCGUGUGACUGCGUACCUUUUGUAUAAUGGGUCAGCGACUUAUAUUCUGUAGCAAGGUUAACCGAAUAGGGGAGCCGAAGGGAAACCGAGUCUUAACUGGGCGUUAAGUUGCAGGGUAUAGACCCGAAACCCGGUGAUCUAGCCAUGGGCAGGUUGAAGGUUGGGUAACACUAACUGGAGGACCGAACCGACUAAUGUUGAAAAAUUAGCGGAUGACUUGUGGCUGGGGGUGAAAGGCCAAUCAAACCGGGAGAUAGCUGGUUCUCCCCGAAAGCUAUUUAGGUAGCGCCUCGUGAAUUCAUCUCCGGGGGUAGAGCACUGUUUCGGCAAGGGGGUCAUCCCGACUUACCAACCCGAUGCAAACUGCGAAUACCGGAGAAUGUUAUCACGGGAGACACACGGCGGGUGCUAACGUCCGUCGUGAAGAGGGAAACAACCCAGACCGCCAGCUAAGGUCCCAAAGUCAUGGUUAAGUGGGAAACGAUGUGGGAAGGCCCAGACAGCCAGGAUGUUGGCUUAGAAGCAGCCAUCAUUUAAAGAAAGCGUAAUAGCUCACUGGUCGAGUCGGCCUGCGCGGAAGAUGUAACGGGGCUAAACCAUGCACCGAAGCUGCGGCAGCGACGCUUAUGCGUUGUUGGGUAGGGGAGCGUUCUGUAAGCCUGUGAAGGUGUGCUGUGAGGCAUGCUGGAGGUAUCAGAAGUGCGAAUGCUGACAUAAGUAACGAUAAAGCGGGUGAAAAGCCCGCUCGCCGGAAGACCAAGGGUUCCUGUCCAACGUUAAUCGGGGCAGGGUGAGUCGACCCCUAAGGCGAGGCCGAAAGGCGUAGUCGAUGGGAAACAGGUUAAUAUUCCUGUACUUGGUGUUACUGCGAAGGGGGGACGGAGAAGGCUAUGUUGGCCGGGCGACGGUUGUCCCGGUUUAAGCGUGUAGGCUGGUUUUCCAGGCAAAUCCGGAAAAUCAAGGCUGAGGCGUGAUGACGAGGCACUACGGUGCUGAAGCAACAAAUGCCCUGCUUCCAGGAAAAGCCUCUAAGCAUCAGGUAACAUCAAAUCGUACCCCAAACCGACACAGGUGGUCAGGUAGAGAAUACCAAGGCGCUUGAGAGAACUCGGGUGAAGGAACUAGGCAAAAUGGUGCCGUAACUUCGGGAGAAGGCACGCUGAUAUGUAGGUGAAGUCCCUUGCGGAUGGAGCUGAAAUCAGUCGAAGAUACCAGCUGGCUGCAACUGUUUAUUAAAAACACAGCACUGUGCAAACACGAAAGUGGACGUAUACGGUGUGACGCCUGCCCGGUGCCGGAAGGUUAAUUGAUGGGGUCAGCGCAAGCGAAGCUCUUGAUCGAAGCCCCGGUAAACGGCGGCCGUAACUAUAACGGUCCUAAGGUAGCGAAAUUCCUUGUCGGGUAAGUUCCGACCUGCACGAAUGGCGUAAUGAUGGCCAGGCUGUCUCCACCCGAGACUCAGUGAAAUUGAACUCGCUGUGAAGAUGCAGUGUACCCGCGGCAAGACGGAAAGACCCCGUGAACCUUUACUAUAGCUUGACACUGAACAUUGAGCCUUGAUGUGUAGGAUAGGUGGGAGGCUUGGAAGUGUGGACGCCAGUCUGCAUGGAGCCGACCUUGAAAUACCACCCUUUAAUGUUUGAUGUUCUAACGUUGACCCGUAAUCCGGGUUGCGGACAGUGUCUGGUGGGUAGUUUGACUGGGGCGGUCUCCUCCUAAAGAGUAACGGAGGAGCACGAAGGUUGGCUAAUCCUGGUCGGACAUCAGGAGGUUAGUGCAAUGGCAUAAGCCAGCUUGACUGCGAGCGUGACGGCGCGAGCAGGUGCGAAAGCAGGUCAUAGUGAUCCGGUGGUUCUGAAUGGAAGGGCCAUCGCUCAACGGAUAAAAGGUACUCCGGGGAUAACAGGCUGAUACCGCCCAAGAGUUCAUAUCGACGGCGGUGUUUGGCACCUCGAUGUCGGCUCAUCACAUCCUGGGGCUGAAGUAGGUCCCAAGGGUAUGGCUGUUCGCCAUUUAAAGUGGUACGCGAGCUGGGUUUAGAACGUCGUGAGACAGUUCGGUCCCUAUCUGCCGUGGGCGCUGGAGAACUGAGGGGGGCUGCUCCUAGUACGAGAGGACCGGAGUGGACGCAUCACUGGUGUUCGGGUUGUCAUGCCAAUGGCACUGCCCGGUAGCUAAAUGCGGAAGAGAUAAGUGCUGAAAGCAUCUAAGCACGAAACUUGCC